UUCAGUUGAUGCACAAGGUCAACAAAGCCACGAUGACGAGGAGGCUAGUCCUAGUGGAAGUGGUAGCUCUCACCAAAAAUCUCUCUUCUGCAAUACCUAUGCUCUUUCCGAAGAGGCAGACUUAAAUGAUGUUGUUGACGAAGCUCGGCCCAGAAAAGGAACAAAGAUCCAUGUGUUUGGGAUUGACCUAUGAUUCGUCACUUUGAAAGCAAGAGGCAUCACAGCUGCUGCAUUUCAAUUCAAUUACAUAAUAACAAGACUACUGCUGUUGAAGCCAACCAAUUGUGUCAUGUAGUCAACCAAAAUUUGGGGUCCUGAUGCCGUGGCCGGUACUGGGCACAAUGCUAAUGUGCAACUUGAACUGAUCGAAAGUAGUCGUGUGCUUAUUGCCCAGGAUGGAAUAGGCCAACAAGAAUUCUCAAUCAGGCGCGUAAACAUUUGCAUUGAAUCGAU